GCUGUGCACGGGCCAGGAGCCGGGGUAUAGCUGAGGGAGCAAGCGUUGGGCGGAAUCAGUGGGCGUAAAGCGGGCUUAGGCGGACCUGGAAGUCCGUUGUGAAAGUCAAAGGCUCAACCUUUGAAAGCCGAUGGAUACUGCAGGGCUAGAGUCCGGAAGAGGCGAGUGGAAUUCCUGGUGUAGCGGUGGAAUGCGGAGAUAUCAGGAGGAACACCAAUAGCGAAGGCAGCUCGCUGGGACGGUACUGACGCUAAGGCGCGAAAGCGUGGGGAGCGAACAGGAUUAGAUACCCUGGUAUUC
rnacentral:rRNA from 1 species